UCAGUUUUUGCCAGUUGUAUAUCUUUUUAAUGAGGUAAUUUCGGUUUCGUUUCAGGUCUCUGGAAAGACAUAUACAAUACUGCACGUGAAAAGGUAAAACUCAGACAUGCUGCACCAUGGAUUGUAAUACAGAUCUACUGGAAAUUGCAUCUAUAUGACAUCAGGUGCACGCUACAUUCUUAUCUGUCAGAGGUUUGACAUUUAACCAAUCUCAGCCAACGACUGAUUAUAUAAUAGAGGAUGUAUAAUGGGUCAAGCAGACGACAGGGUGGUCAGUGCAAAGAACAAUUAGGAUAAAGAAGAGAGUGGAAUUAUUAGGUACACAUGGAUCUAAGAACUCGUGAGGAGAUGAUAGAAAGCAAACAAUUUACAAAAGCAACAGGUGGUGUGGCUAUGGUGAUUUUUAACUUUCCUCAUUUUUUUUCAGCUGCUUUCUACAUACGCUGAUGUUCAAUCCAGGACGAUACAUAAGUGACAAAGGCUUACCGUGAAGAUCAAUAAUGUGACUUAAGAUUCAAGGAAGAUAUACUACCUGUAUUUUGAAUGAUGAAAUAGUGAGUGUGUGUAAUCACUUUACUGCGGAUUGAAGCGGAUCCACCCCUGAAGUACACUUAUUAGUGUUGAAAGUCUUCAUCUCAGACUUAAAAUAUUGAUGAAUAGAGCAUGAUCACAGUAAGUGACAGUAAGGCAGCAUGAUUACAGUACCGAACAGUUAGGCAGCAUGAUCACAGUACUGGACAGCUAGGCAGAGUGAUCACAGUACUGGACAGUAAGGCAGCAUGAUCACAGUACUGGACAGUAAGGCAGAGUAAUCACAGUACUGGACAGUAAGGUAGCAUGAUCACAGUACUGGACAGUAAGGCAGCAUGAUCACAGUACUGGACAGUAAGGCAGAGUAAUCACAGUACUGGAUAUUCAGGCAGCAUGAUCACAGUACUGGACAGUAAGGUAGCAUGAUCACAGUACUGGACGGUAAGGCAGCAUGAUCACAGUACUGGACAGUAAGGCAGAGUAAUCACAGUACUGGAUAUUAAGGCAGCAUGAUCACAGUACUGGACAGUAAGGUAGCAUGAUCACAGUACUGGACAGUAAGGCAGCAUGAUCACAGUACUGGACAGUAAGGUAGCAUGAUCAUAGUACUGGACAGUAAGGCAGCAUGAUCACAGUACUGGACAGUAAGGCAGAAUAAUCACAGUACUGGAUAAUAAGGCAGCAUGAUCACAGUACUGGACAGUGAGGCAGCAUGAUCACAGUACUGGACAUUGAGGCAGCAUGAUCACACUUCUGAACAGUGAGGCAGCAGGAUCACAGUACUGGACAGUGAGGCAGCAUGUUCACAGAACUGGACAGAAAUGCAGCAUGAUCACAGUACUGGACAUUGAGACAGCAUGGUUACAGUACUGGACAGUGAGUUAACAUGAUCACAGUAGCAGACAUUAAGGGAGCAUGGUCACAGUACUGGACAGUGAGGCAGCAAGUACACAGUACCGGACAGUAGGGCAGCAUGAUCACAGUACUGGACAGCAAGACAAUAUGAUCACAGUACUGGCAUCUAUCAGAUGUUAAAUAAGUAAACGAGGUGAUGCUGCUAAAAGUCACACGACUAUUAUUGCGACGAUUACUGUCGGACAAGAAUGAAAAGAAGGAACCAGCAAACGUCUUUCGACAUUUCUAUUAAGGUAGUUGAUCUAUAAAGGCAGUAGGUAUUCUCCCUUCGAUUACGCAUUCUUGUAUGGCAUUUCAGCAUUUUUCGGACGAUAAUGUAUCUCAUACAAACACUUAGUUUUUUCUUUGUACGUACCGUAGAAUGCCGAGUUCAUAUACGGAGAAUACGGAAACAAACGGAAUUUUCCGAUUGUCCUGUCGGGUCUACUACCUUAAUCGUCACAGUUGAUGCGGUUACAUAUUUCACCGUCCUAGUUUCACCGUGAGGUGCACGUAUUUCCCGCUUUUUGUUAGAUAUCAUAGUUUGCAGUCUGUUAGCCAAGUUUCAAAGCACGCCGUGUGUACUAUUGGAUGGACGUCACCUCUUGAUAGCAAACUUAAUCAAACCAAACAAUUCCUGCUGGAUAUCACAACUAAAUACUUUCAGCCGAAAGAUUCAAUGUUCUUAAAAGCUGAGUUUCAAUGCAUUUCACAGUCGUGUUUUAGUGCUCUCCAUAGUUGGAGUGACGACAAAAGUGCAUUUAGCUAAGUUGCAGCACUUCUCCCCAUGGCAUUUCUGUUUGAUAUAAAAAAGCAGAAGAGCACGAUUGAGGUUAAUUUUGAACGUCAUUCUGUUGGAUAUACAAUAUUACACAACCAAGAACAUCUCAGACUAAGUGUCAACAAUAAUUAUGACCAAUUGUUCUGUCAGAUAUACCGAGUUACAAUGCGAGGAGUUUUGGCAUGAGGUUUGAAUGACAUUUCUGUCAGAUAUACCAAGUACCAACGCAAGGAGUUUUGGCAUGAGUUCUUAACAUUUAUGUCAGAUAUACCAAGUAAAAACACCAGGAGUUCAGCAUGAGUUCGGAACGACAUUUCUGUCAGAUAUACCAAGUUACAACACGAGGAGUUCCAGCAUGAUUUCUGAACGCCAUUUCCGUCAGAUUUACCAAGUUACAACGCCAGGAGUUCAGCGUGAUUUCUGAACGACAUUUCUGUCAGAUAUACCGAGUUACAACGCGAGGAGUUCCAGCAUGAUUUCUAAACGACAUUUCUGUCAGAUAUACCAAGUUACAACGCGAGGAGUUCCAGCCUGAUUUCUGAACGACAUUUCUGUCAGAUAUACCAAGUUACAACGCAGGGAGUUCCAGCCUGAUUUCUGAACGACAUUUCUGUCAGAUAUACCAAGUUACAACGCGAGGAGUUCCAGCAUGAUUUCUGAACGACAUUUCUGUCAGAUAUACCAAGCUUACAAUUCGAGGAGUUUCAGCAUGAUUAUUGAACGGUAUAUCUGUCAGAUAUACCAAGUUAUAACCAGUGCUAGGGGUUUCAGCAUGAUUUCUUAACGACAUUUUUGUCAGUUAGACCAAGUUAUAACGCGAGGGGUUUCAGCAUGAUGUAUCUGCAAUGGUUCUCUACUGGUACUGGUCAUCACUUUAGGCUU
rnacentral:lncRNA from 1 species